UGAAUACGAGAUGCUACGGCAUCGAAGCAGUCUAUGUCAUACUUCCAAGAAAAGCUUGCACUGUCAUAAACAAAUAAUGCCUGUACCAUAACCGACACAGGUGGGUAGGUAGAGUAUACUAAGGGGCGCGAGAUAACUCUCUCUAAGGAACUCGGCAAAAUGACUCCGUAACUUCGGGAGAAGGAGUGCCUUAUUUUAUAAGGUUGCAAUAACAAGAUCCAAGCAACUGUUUACCAAAAACACAGGUCUCCGCUAAGUCGUAAGACGAUGUAUGGGGGCUUACGCCUGCCCAGUGCCAGAAGGUUAAAGAAGUUGGUUAGCAUUAGCGAAGCUGAUAACUGAAGCCCUGGUGAACGGCGGCCGUAACUAUAACGGUCCUAAGGUAGCGAAAUUCCUUGUCGGGUAAGUUCCGACCCGCACGAAAGGCGUAAUGAUUUGGAUACUGUCUCGGAGAGGGGCUCGGUGAAAUAGACUUGUCUGUGAAGAUGCGGACUACCUGCACCAGGACAGAAAGACCCUAUGAAGCUUUACUGUAACUUGAGAUUGAAAUUGGACUUUAUUUGCGCAGUAUAGGUGGGAGACGUUGAAAAUAUUCUUGCGGGAAUAUUGGAGUCAUCAGUGAGAUACCACUCUUAUAAUGUUAGAUUUCUAACUUUGUAUCAUUAUCUGGUCAAAGAACAGUCUCAGGCGGGCAGUUUGACUGGGGCGGUCGCCUCCCAAACGGUAACGGAGGCGCACAAAGGUUUCCUCUGAACGUGUAGAAAUCGUAUCUAGAGUGUAAAGGCAUAAGGAAGCUUGACUGUGAGACCUACAAGUCGAGCAGGGACGAAAGUCGGUCUUAGUGAUCUGACGGUGCUGAGUGGAAAGGCCGUCACUCAACGGAUAAAAGUUACUCUAGUAUAACAGCUGAUCUCCCCCAAGAGUUCACAUCGACGGGGAGGUUUGGCACCUCGAUGUCGGCUCAUCGCAUCCUGGGGCGGUAGUACGUCCCAAGGGUUGGGCUGUUCGCCCAUGAAAGCGGUACGCGAGCUGGGUUCAGAACGUCGUGAGACAGUUCGGUCCAUAUCCGGUGUAGGCGUUAGAAUAUUGAGAGGAGCCUUCUUUAGUACGAGAGGACCGAGAAGGACAUACCUCUGGUGUACCAGUUAUCGUGCCAACGGUAAACGCUGGGUAGCUAUGUAUGGAGAGGAUAACCGCUGAAAGCAUCUAAGUGGGAAGCCCACCUCAAGAUAAGUAUUCUCUU
rnacentral:rRNA from 1 species